GGCUCGGUAGCUAAGUUGGUAAAGCGCUCGUCUAGCAUACAAGAAUCCUGGGCUCAAGUCCCAGCCGAGCAC
rnacentral:tRNA from 2 species